UACGUAUGGAGCAAGCGUUAUCCGGAUUUACUGGGUGUAAAGGGGGCGCAGGCGGCUUUGCAAGUCUGAUGUGAAAGGCCGGGGCUCAACCCCGGGACUGCAUUGGAAACUGUAAAGCUAGAGUGCCGGAGAGGUAAGCGGAAUUCCUAGUGUAGCGGUGAAAUGCGUAGAUAUUAGGAGGAACACCAGUGGCGAAGGCGGCUUACUGGACGGCAACUGACGCUGAGGCUCGAAAGCGUGGGGAGCAAACAGG
rnacentral:rRNA from 1 species